rnacentral:rRNA from 1 species
UAAUAGCGUAUACUUAAGUUGUUGCAGUUAAAAAGCUCGUAGUCGGAUGUCGGGCUUGGGCAGGCUGUCGGCUUUUGUCGGACGGCAGGCUCGGGCCUUUCUGCCUGGGGGCCGCGUCACACUUCACUGUGGGGCGUCGGGACGCAGGCCGUUUACUUUGAAAAAAUUAGAGUGUUCAAAGCAGGCCUACGCUUGAAUACAUUAGCAUGGAAUAAUGGAAUAGGACUUUGGUGCCAUUCUGUUGGUUUAUGGAACCGAAGUAAUGAUUAAUAGGGACAGUUGGGGCCGUUUAUAUUUCGUCGUCAGAGGUGAAAUUCUUGGAUUUACGAAAGAUAAACUUCUGCGAAAGCAUUCGGCAAGGAUGUUUUCAUUGA